AAAGCAUCUAAGUGCGAAACUCACCUCGAGAUAAGAUUUCCCAUUCCUUUAUGGAAGUAAGACCCCUGAGAGAUGAUCAGGUAGAUAGGAUGGAAGUGGAAGUGCGGCGACGCAUGGAGCGGACCAUUACUAAUCGGUCGAGGACUUAACCAA
rnacentral:rRNA from 1 species